rnacentral:rRNA from 1 species
UACAUGGGGUGCAAACGUUGCUCGGAAUCAUUGGGCGUAAAGCGCGCGUAGGCGGUUAUUUAAGUUGGAUGUGAAAGCCCUCGGCUUAACUGAGGAAGUGCAUCCAAAACUGAAUAGCUAGAGUACGAAAGAGGGUCGCGGAAUUCCCGGUGUAGGGGUGAAAUUCGUAGAUAUCGGGAGGAACACCGGUGGCGAAGGCGGCGACCUGGGUCGAGACUGACGCUGAGGCGCGAAAGCGUGGGGAGCAAACAGG